rnacentral:rRNA from 1 species
AUUGAACGCUGGCGGCAUGCUUUACACAUGCAAGUCGAACGGUAACAGGCCGCAAGGUGCUGACGAGUGGCGCACGGGUGCGUAAUGCAUCGGAACGUGCCCAGUCGUGGGGGAUAACUACUCGAAAGAGUAGCUAAUACCGCAUACGAUCUAUGGAUGAAAGCGGGGGACCGUAAGGCCUCGCGCGAUUGGAGCGGCCGAUGUCAGAUUAGGUAGUUGGUGGGGUAAAGGCUCACCAAGCCAACGAUCUGUAGCUGGUCUGAGAGGACAACCAGCCACACUGGGACUGAGACACGGCCCAGACUCCUACGGGAGGCAGCAGUGGGGAAUUUUGGACAAUGGGCGCAAGCCUGAUCCAGCAAUGCCGCGUGCAGGAAGAAGGCCUUCGGGUUGUAAACUGCUUUUGUACGGAACGAAACGGCUCUGGUUAAUACCCGGGGCUAAUGACGGUACCGUAAGAAUAAGCACCGGCUAACUACGUG